AUUGAACGCUGGCGGCAGGCCUAACACAUGCAAGUCGAACGGUAACAGGAAGCAGCUUUCUGCUUCGCUGACGAGUGGCGGACGGGUGAGUAAUGUCUGAGAAGCUGCCUGAUUUAGGGGGAUAACUACUGGAAACGGUAGCUAAUAGCUCAUAAUGUCGCAAGACUAAAGGGGGUUACCUUCGUGCCUCUUGCCAGCGUAUGUUCCCAGAUUGGAUUAGCUUGUUGGUGGGGUAACGGCUCACCAAGGCGACGAUCCCUAGCUGGUCUGAGAGGAUGACCAGCGACACUGGGACUGAGACACGGUCCAGACUCCUACGGGAGGCAGCAGUGGGGAAUAUUGCACAGUGGGCGCAAGCCUGAUGCAGCGAUGCCGCGUGUAUGAAGAAGGCCUUCGGGUUGUAAAGUACUUUCAGCGGGGAGGAAGGGAGUAAAGUUAAUACCUUUGCUCAUUGACGUUACCCGCAGAAGAAGCACCGGCUAACUCCGUG
rnacentral:rRNA from 1 species